rnacentral:rRNA from 1 species
UACGUAGGGGGCGAGCGUUGUCCGGAAUCAUUGGGCGUAAAGCGCGUGUAGGCGGCCCGGUAAGUCCGCUGUGAAAGUCCAGGGCUCAACCCUGGGAUGCCGGUGGAUACUGUCGGGCUCGAGUCCGGAAGAGGCGAGUGGAAUUCCUGGUGUAGCGGUGAAAUGCGCAGAUAUCAGGAGGAACACCUGUGGUGUAAACAGCUUACUGGACCACUUCUGACGCUGAGACACGAAAGCGUGGGGAGCGAACAGG